GAAACAGACCAGAGUACACCAGGAACCAUCCACUCACCAAGUGUAGGAACGGAGGCUGAGGCAAGAGGAGACCACAUACAACACAAAACACUUUAAAACCUCCCUCCUCAGUGUGCAGUUGCCCAGACCGAGCUCAGACUUGGAACCCUCCUGCCCCAGCCUCCCAGAGUACGGGGAUUACAGACAAUCUAUGAUGGAAGAGAAGAAGCAGGCUGUCUUUUGACCCAGGGGAGGCUCCCUUACCUUCCAAGGUGGUUUCAUCCAUAUCCUGGAAAGAAAAGUCCAGGACAGAGGGCCAUUCGUUGUACAUCAUCUGCAAGAUGUGCAGAAACACAAAAGACUCCCGGAGCCAGCAGCUGAGGCAGAUCAAGGUGGACAUCAGCGCCCAAGCCCAGGAUCCCAGCCGCCUCCAAGUCCUGCCGGCCCAGAGACACUGGAUCCCAGGAGCCCCGCGGGCCAGCUUCCCCGCGCAGCAGAGCUGGGUGCAUGUGAGGGGCGCUCCUGUGCAGUGCCCAAAGGUCAGAUUCGGACACCCAGGCCGUCAGAGAUCUGCAAAAGGCGGGAUGAAACGUGACCCGAGCGAUCACGAAGACACCACAAAGACACGCGGGGGCAGCUGCAGGCUGGAGAGGAGGAGGAGGUGGAGGAGGAGCUCUCCUGUAAUGCUGUGUGGCCUGUGA
rnacentral:lncRNA from 1 species